rnacentral:rRNA from 1 species
UACGAAGGGGGCUAGCGUUGCUCGGAAUCACUGGGCGUAAAGGGUGCGUAGGCGGGUCUUUAAGUCCGGGGUGAAAUCCUGGAGCUCAACUCCAGAACUGCCUUUGAUACUGAAGAUCUUGAGUUCGGGAGAGGUGAGUGGAACUGCGAGUGUAGAGGUGAAAUUCGUAGAUAUUCGCAAGAACACCAGUGGCGAAGGCGGCUCACUGGCACGAUACUGACGCUGAGGCACGAAAGCGUGGGUAGCAAACAGG